rnacentral:rRNA from 1 species
UACGGAGGAUGCGAGCGUUAUCCGGAUUUAUUGGGUUUAAAGGGUGCGUAGGCGGCCGAGUAAGUCAGCGGUGAAAUUUUGCAGCUUAACUGUAACAGUGCCGUUGCUACUGCAUGGCUAGGAUUUGGUUGCUGUGGGUGGAAUGUGUGGUGUAGCGGUGAAAUGCUUAGAUAUCACACAGAAUAUCGAUUGCGAAGGCAGCUCACAAAGCCAAGAUUGACGCUGAGGCACGAAAGUGUGGGGAUCAAA